rnacentral:lncRNA from 1 species
CAAGGGAAAUGAAGGUAGUGAAAUGAAGGUACAAUCCCGUUAUUGUGUUAUUGUUCUAUGAUAAAUGUUGUAUUCUUGUCUUUAUUUUUUGCUAAUGUGCUUUGUCUAUAUGCGUUUUUUUUGUGUUUCUUUGAUACAUAUGACGUGGAUCUGUACUUUACAUCCCGUCAUUGUGUUUAUGUGCUAUUGUUAAUUUUUGUAUUCUUGUCUUUGUUUUUGCUAUUGUGGUUUGUCUAUAUACCUAAUUUUUGUGCUUCUUUGUUACAUAUUUGUUUGUUUUUACAGUGAUGAAGAUUAUAACACAAUGUUGACUGAUGUACCCCUAUUUUUAAUUUUCCGUUUUGAAUUUUUCUCGGAGUUCAGUAUUUUUGAGAUUUUAUUCCUAUAUGGACAAUUACAUAGACAACACUGAAAAGGCUUUCCUUAAAAUUCGCUUCGUUUGGUUUUGGUUAAACAACUACAAACGGCAUAUUCUUUAGAUCCAAUGAUUUGGCUGAAUAAAUGGAAGAAAUAUCACUCAAAAUAUAAGGAGAUAAACUAGCCAUGUCUUGAGGAAACGAUGAUAGUCGGUCGGAAGGUGAAGAUAAAUGGCUUACCCGUGGUAAGAAAGAGCCAUUGUCUCUUGCAUGUAAAAGAUACCCUUGUAGAUUUCGAAAAAGAGUAGGCUAAUGCCGCUACAAGGCAGCACUUGCACCCGCAAAGUGGAAAGGGAUUAAUAUAUGUUGCAAAGCUUGUUUCCCAAUCCACUUUAAAUAAAUUUAUUUAAACUAAAUAUAUAUAAAUACAUAGUUUUUUUUAACAUUCCUAACAAAUGAUAUUGUAAGAGAAUAAUCACCUAUCGUGUUCUUGAGACCAAAUAUGGUCUAAUUGGCAAUGGCACAACUCUCUACAUACAAUAGACGACAAUGACAUAGAGGGUACAACUAUAGGAUGUUUGCUUGUCAUGUUUUGGAAUUUUUGUCAUAUUUUCGAAAUCCUCUGGUUUUAUCCAUUUGAAUGCAUUAAAAAAUUUUGCCCAUGGACCCCCAUUUAUCUUUUUAUAAAUCUUUUACAUGUAAAAUUAUAAGCCAUGUGUAAAAGUCUUAAAAAAUCUUAUUUUUUUUUAAUUGUUUUUAGAACUUUAACUGGUUUAUGAUAAAGCUAUGAAAAAUCAAGAGAAAACAUUUUCCCGCCAAAAUGUCAAUGGCUAAUAUCUUGAAAACGAGCACAUCGACCGCUAUAUUUCUGUUGCUUUUUUAUUCCUCAAUUAAUCCCCUAUCAAUAUAUACUAGUGUUAUGAAAAGCAAUAUAUUUUCAAACUGAGCAGCGAACUUCCUUAAACAAUGAACAAAGCCCAUACCACAUAAUCAGC